GAGAAAGCAGGGGAUCGUAAGACCUUGCGCUGAUGGAUGAGCCGAAGUCGGAUUAGCUAGUUGGUGGGGUAACGGCUCACCAAGGCGACGAUCCGUAGCUGGUCUGAGAGGACGACCAGCCACACUGGAACUGAGACACGGUCCAGACUCCUACGGGAGGCAGCAGUGGGGAAUAUUGGACAAUGGGGGAAACCCUGAUCCAGCGACGCCGCGUGUGUGAAGAAGGCCUGCGGGUUGUAAAGCACUUUUAGUGGGGAUGAAAUGUGCAGGGUUAAUACCUCUGCAUUUUGACCUAACCCACAGAAAAAGCACCGGCUAACUCUGUGCCAGCAGCCGCGGUAAUACAGAGGGUGCAAGCGUUAAUCGGAAUUACUGGGCGUAAAGCGUGCGCAGACGGUUAUAUAAGUCGGGUGUGAAAGCCCCGGGCUCAACCUGGGAAUUGCAUUCGAGACUGUGUAGCUAGGGUACGGAAGAGGGAAGCGGAAUUUCAGGKGUASSGGUGAAAKGCGUAGAUAUCUGAAGGAACACCAG
rnacentral:rRNA from 1 species